ACUUCUGUAGGUCUUGGGCAAGCAAUCACAGCUGCUGAGAGUUCAAGAGUGUAGCAGUAUCCAGCACAGAAGACGGUCGGCCGUGAUGGCACACACCUUUGAUCCAAGGACCUGGGAGUCAGAUGCAGGUGAAUCUCUAAGUUCAAGGCCAGCCUGAUCUACAAAGUGAGUUCAAAGUUAGCUAUGGAUACCCUGUCUCAAGAAGACAUAUAAUAAUAAUGAUGAUGAUGAUGAUGAUGAUGAUGAUAAUGAUAAUAAUA
rnacentral:lncRNA from 1 species